rnacentral:rRNA from 1 species
GACGAACGCUGGCGGCGUGCCUAAUACAUGCAAGUCGAACGCUGAAGGAGGAGCUUGCUCUUCUGGAUGAGUUGCGAACGGGUGAGUAACGCGUAGGUAACCUGCCUGGUAGCGGGGGAUAACUAUUGGAAACGAUAGCUAAUACCGCAUAAAAUUGAUUAUUGCAUGAUAGUCAAUUAAAAGGUGCAAUUGCAUCACUACCAGAUGGACCUGCGUUGUAUUAGCUAGUUGGUGAGGUAACGGCUCACCAAGGCAACGAUACAUAGCCGACCUGAGAGGGUGAUCGGCCACACUGGGACUGAGACACGGCCCAGACUCCUACGGGAGGCAGCAGUAGGGAAUCUUCGGCAAUGGACGGAAGUCUGACCGAGCAACGCCGCGUGAGGGAAGAAGGUUUUCGGAUCGGAAAGCUCUGUUGUAAGAGAAGAACGAGUGUGAGAGUGGAAAGUUCACACUGUGACGGUAGCUGACCAGAAAGGGACGGCUAACUACGUG